UAGGGAAUAUUGGUCAAUGGACGCAAGUCUGAACCAGCCAUGCCGCGUGCAGGAAGAAGGUCCUAUGGAUUGUAAACUGCUUUUCUACGGGAAGAAACCCCUGGAUGCGUCCGGGGCUGACGGUACUGUAGGAAUAAGGAUCGGCUAACUCCGUGCCAGCAGCCGCGGUAAGACGGAGGAUCCAAGCGUUGUCCGGAUUUACUGGGUUUAAAGGGUGCGUAGGCGGACGAUUAAGUCAGUGGUGAAAGCCUGCAGCUUAACUGCAGAAGUGCCACUGAAACUGGUUGUCUUGAGUACGGUUGAGGUUGUUGGAAUGCAUCAUGUAGCGGUGAAAUGCUUAGAUAUGAUACAGAACACCAAUUGCGAAGGCAGACAACUAAGCCGUAACUGACGCUGAGGC
rnacentral:rRNA from 1 species